rnacentral:rRNA from 1 species
GACGAACGCUGGCGGCGUGCUUAACACAUGCAAGUCGAACGAUGAAGCACCAGCUUGCUGGUGUGGAUUAGUGGCGAACGGGUGAGUAACACGUGAGUAACCUGCCCCUCACUCUGGGAUAAGCCUGGGAAACUGGGUCUAAUACUGGAUACGACCGAUCUCCGCAUGGAGUGUUGGUGGAAAGGUUUUGUGGUGGGGGAUGGACUCGCGGCCUAUCAGCUUGUUGGUUGGGUAGUGGCCUACCAAGGCGACGACGGGUAGCCGGCCUGAGAGGGCGACCGGCCACACUGGGACUGAGACACGGCCCAGACUCCUACGGGAGGCAGCAGUGGGGAAUAUUGCACAAUGGGCGAAAGCCUGAUGCAGCGACGCCGCGUGAGGGAUGACGGCCUUCGGGUUGUAAACCUCUUUCACCAGGGACGAAGCUAACGUGACGGUACCUGGAGAAGAAGCACCGGCUAACUACGUG